AAAGGUCCAAACCCAAUUCCCCAACAAAUUCAGAUCAGAGCUCUCCAUCACAUAAUCAACUCGAUCCAGACCCUAAUUCAUCUAAUGUUGUGAUAGCAGUUGUAGCUUCUGUGGUUUCAUGAAGACCUUCACGGCUUACAGAAAGAAAUCAGAAGAAGAUGAAAUCGGAAGAAGAUGAUUUUAAAUAGUUGUAGCUUCAGUGGUUUCAUCUAAUGUUGUGAUAGUUCUUUG
rnacentral:lncRNA from 1 species